rnacentral:lncRNA from 1 species
AAUGUUUAUUGCAUUUUCUGACAAUCUGUCAAUCAGGAUGUAGACCUGUGCAUGACAGGAAGAGCAAUGGAAGAUCCCAAAUCCAUUCAGAGGAGGUUUGAAGCGGCUGUUAAAGUGAUCCGAAGUGUACCUGAAGAUGGCUCCUAUGACCUGUCUGAUGAUAUGCUGGUUAUGUUCUACAGUUACUACAAACAAGCUACAGCAGGACCGUGUAACACCCCGAAACCCAACUCUUGGGAUCCUAUUGGUAAAGCUAAAUGGGAGGCAUGGAAAAUUUUGGGAAACAUGUCAAAGGACCAAGCCAUGGUGGAAUAUGUUCAGGAAAUACAGCAGAUAAUUGAAACCCUCCCGGUCACAGACAGGAUGGCAGAAUUAAUGGACGCUCUUGACCCAUUUUAUGAGAUGGUGGCGGAAGAUGAUGAUGAUGAAGAUGAUGCAUUCAGUAAAGCAGCACCCUUAUCCACAGGAAACACUAAUGGCGAAAAAACUGAUGAUGAUGAUGCUGCUGAGAAACUUAAAGCGGGGGAAAGUGAAAUUAAUGGGGAAAAUAAGAAAGAUGAGCUGGAGAUGGAGAAGAGGAGGAAAGGUACAGGAACAGCUUUGUGUCUGUAUUUUCAAGACGGUGAUCUGAAAGGAUUCAUAACACUGUAUUUGAGGACUUCUCAGCUCUUUUUUUAUUCUGCAGACUCGAGCACAUUUGCAGCAGGGAGAGGAGGUUCAUCAGUGUUUAAUGAAAGUGAGGAGAACAGCAUGUCCUCCUCAACCGAUGACGCUCAUAGUUCUCUGAACACGGGGGAGGAAGAGGAGGAAUUGACUUAUGAUGACUCAGACGAUGAGAUGUACAGUGACUCGAUGGAAAAUCCAGCAACUCAAGAGAAGGGUUCGGGAGUUCCUAGGGUCCAUUUGGCAGAUGUGAGCGUGGCUGGGGCCCGCAUGCAACAAGGGGGAAACAGAGAGCCUCAGUGUGGGAGUCAGGAUGGAAAGCCACAGGAAGCUACACUCCCCGUCCCCCACCCACCGACACUUGGACCGGUCCGAACUGACAGAAUCUCAGCAGGCAGUGGAAGAGGUUGGGCUCGAGUCAGUGUUUGAAUAAGUCUUGAGCACCGUGACGUCAACAAGCAAUAAUGUGAUCAACAAGCCAAUUUUCCACCAGCAUUUGUAUAAACGUACAAUGCGAGUGAAUACUAUUAUACUUCUGCUAGGAAUCAUUUCCUAAUAAGGCAAGCCUCUAUUGCUAUUGCAUGUGGCAUUUA